rnacentral:misc_RNA from 1 species
AUGACAGUGCAUAAGCUUUCAAAAUGGCGUUUAGAAUCAUUGUCUGGAAUUCGAUCUUCUGAGUGAAGUGUUUUGUGACUGCUGGUUGGAUCGUGAUCGCAUCCUCAGGAUUGAUUCAAAUUCCACGUUAAUUGCAGUACAGGAGGUUGCGUGUGAAGGUUCUCGCUUCGGUGCAAUUCAAGUGCUGGAAGCUCGUCAGCAGAAAGUGGAAGGAAAACGUCAAUAGCGUGAAAACUUUUUUCGUCGUAUCAAUUCUCCUCGCCAGAGGAUGGUGGCCGUCAUUUUUACUGUUGCAAAGGCCACGGAUUAUUCAGUAACGGUGCGGUGUGGUCGCGUUUGUGCGUGAACUAUGCUCUGGUCGCAAAUCGCAGCAAUUGAAUUCAAUCGAACCCACGACAAAUCAAGGACUUCCACUAUCCGCUCUGAACUCUCGACGCUCGUGUGAACUUUUUCUUUUGUCAACCAAAAUAGAACUUUGAAGGGAAACGACAACAACAACGGCAAAAUGCAAUCGGACGAGGAGAGCUGCUUCGAGGAGAAGUGCCUGGAGGCGAUCAACUCGCAGCAAGACCUCGAGAUAGAGUUCGUGGCGCAGCGAGACACGGCCGCCAGGAACAUUUGGAGCGCCUUCCAGGACUCUGCGACGUCCAUCGCCCAGUUGUAUCGCGAGCGCUGCGCGUACAAUGAAAGCGACACGGCGGCUCUAUGGUUGCCAUUUCAAACAGCAGCAGGUACUGUUACUACAUUAUAUAAAGAAUCAUGUGAAGGUAUCAAGAAAACUAGCGAUGUAGCCGUACAAUACGGGUACCAAAGACGGACUAGAGAAAUUGCUGAUUGGGCGCGCAGUAAAAGAAGGCGUUACAUACGUCGAGAAGAUUUACUUGCGUAUUUAGCUGGUAAGCCGCCACCACCUCUACAUGUCACACGGGUUUCUCAGUUACGUUUAUCGCCAAAGCCAGAAUCACCACUUAACAGUAGUAACCAAUUUUUAGUCGGACCAAAUCAAAUGCCUGCUGAACCGACAGAUCUUCACACGUUCAAAGAAGCAUUAGUCAGAAGACCGAGGGGCCCCGAACUCUACGCAUUUGUAGCUAGUGAAAUAGCUCGAAACUGUAAACGUCCAGCCAGUCCCCUAGAUGUUAAUAUGGAUGUUCAAAAUCUUAGCAAUAAGCGACAACGUUACAUGUAGAAUUCACUCAUCAGAAUGAUUUAUAAAAUAACUAUGAAUAGGCGUGAGGAAAUAGUAAGGAAAAGUCACUGGAAACCCGAGCAUCCCACAUGAGAAAAUCUUCAAACCUGUUUGGAUGGAAACUUUUCAAGAUACUCCCGGUCAUCUGAAAUUUCAAAAAUUAAUAAAACAACGUAGAUUAAAGAUGUUUCAAUUGAAAGCGAAUUAAACUGUAUUAUCUUUCUUUGCUUAAGUGUAUCGCAAAACAGCGGAAAGUUAUAUAUAUCUAUAUAUAUAUAUUUAUACAUAUAUAUCGAUGAACAAGACCCUAAACGUUUAGAGGAUAAUGUAAAAAGGAUUAAAUUUAGCAAUACAUAGGUAAAAGUAAUGAUGAUAAUGAUAAGCGUAAACCAAUAAUAUCAAAUCGCACUGUAAUUAAUAAUUAUGAGAACAAUAAUGCAUAGACAGAGACAGACACACUUUUUAUAAUUUAUCAGCUGAAUUGUUCUUUCCAUACUCAUACAUAUACGUACGCCUUUCCAUUUCGUCUCUUUAUGUAUCAUUUUCUAUUUUCAUAAAUUUUAUCUUCUUGUUAAAGUCUAUUAUUUCAAAUUGAUGCUGUUAAUAGUUUGCAAAUUAAAUUGAUGUCCUCGAACGUUGUUUAAUAAUUUAUUUAGUAGUAAUCAUAUUUUUUGGCAAAAGUAGGAAUUGAAUCUAUAAGUAGAGCGAACUGUGUCUUCAAUAAAACAUUAUCAUGAU